AGGGGCGUGAAUUUUUCUGGCAAUUAUCUUUUGUUUUUCCGAGUUUUGUGAAUUUCUUAAUCUUGUUAUAUUUACUUUGUAGUCGAAAAUUUUAUCUGCGUAAUAAUCUAAGAUAGAUGUUUGAUCAUGUUUGACAAUUGACGAUUGCAAGACUCGUGAGAAACGCAAUUUCAAUCUGCCUACGAGGGAUCAGCAAUAUCAUCAACAUCCACUGCAUAUAAUGUUAAAGAAUUCUGGUCUAUUUUAGAACUACUUGCAUAUAAUUUAUCCGGCGACAUAAGAGAUAAAAUUCUUUUCUUUAUCAUCGUGUUUAUGCAAGUUUCGUUUCUUGCUUUUAAUGCCGACUUAAUAACGCAAAUGGUGGUUGCCGACAAAGGUUUUGCUAUUACAUUUUUAACAAUAGAAAUGCACUUACAAGGAGAGGCCGCGAGAUAAGAGUCACCGACUUUAAUAAAAUUUUAUGAGAGUGUAGUAUUUAUUUACACAUUUACUGCAGUUUGUUGUGGAUAUUGAGCAUUUUCGUGAAAAUAAUACUUUUUUUGUAAAUUAAAUUUUAUAUUU
rnacentral:lncRNA from 13 species